AUUGAACGCUGGCGGCAUGCCUUACACAUGCAAGUCGAACGGCAGCACGGGUGCUUGCACCUGGUGGCGAGUGGCGAACGGGUGAGUAAUACAUCGGAACGUACCUUAUCGUGGGGGAUAACGCAGCGAAAGUUGCGCUAAUACCGCAUACGCCCUGAGGGGGAAAGCGGGGGACCGUAAGGCCUCGCGCGAUUAGAGCGGCCGAUGUCUGAUUAGCUUGAUGGUGAGGUAAAAGCUCACCAAGGCGAUGAUCAGUAGCUGUUAUGAGAGGACGAUCAGCCACACUGGGACUGGGACACGGCCCAGGCUCUUACGGGCGGCAGCAGUGGGGAAUUUUGGAAAAUGGGGGCAACCCUGAUCCAGAAAUGCCGCGUGAGUGAAGAAGGCCUUCGGGUUGUAAAGCUCUUUUGUCAGGGAAGAGACGGCAGCUCUAACACAGUCUGCGAAUGACGGUACCUGAAGAAUAAGCACCGGCUAACUACGUGCCAGCAGCCGCCGUAA
rnacentral:rRNA from 1 species